UACGGGGGGGGCAAGCGUUGUUCGGAAUUACUGGGCGUAAAGGGCGCGUAGGCGGUCAGACUAAGUCAGAUGUAAAAUACCAAGGCUUAACCUAGGCAGGUCAUUUGAUACUGGUCGACUAGAGUGUAGAAGGGGUUACUGGAAUUCCUGGUGUAGCGGUGAAAUGCGUAGAUAUCAGGAGGAACACCGGAGGCGAAGGCGGGUAACUGGGCUAACACUGACGCUGAGGCGCGAAAGCUAGGGGAGCAAACAGG
rnacentral:rRNA from 1 species